GGGAUAAAAUUUUAAUUUUACACAACAUACAAGAUCACCUAUCAAUACUAAUACGAGAUACCCACCCCAUGCUCGAUAAUGCUUUUAGGGUGCGUUUGGUUCGCAUUAUAAAAGAUUACUAGGAAUAAAAGAUAUCCGAGAAUCUUAUUACUAUUCAUCCUAUUACUAAGAAUGUGGAAUUCCUGUGUUUGGUUCACACGGUAAUAUUAAUUAGCCAUGCUAUUUAAUAUUACAAAAAUUAUACAAUUUAUUUAUUUAUUAUUUAUUUAAUUUUAGAUAAUGUUACCAAAAGUUUCAACAUCUUUUAGAAAAAAGGGAAAGAGAGUAUAAGUUAGAGCGAGAGAGCACAAUUAAAAAAAUAGAAAGAAAAAUAUAGUCGAAAUUAGAGGGAGUGAGAGAGUUGAAAUUUUAGAAAGAGAGAGAGAGAGAAAGCUUAGUUUAGAGAGAGAAAAAAAAGUUGAAUUUUAGAGAGAAAAAUAAGUUUAGAGAGAGAUAUAAGGUUAGAGUGUAAAGAAAAAUAAUAUCAAUUAGCCGGCAGGUAGGAAGAAAGAAAGAGAUUAGACAUAUUAUGAUUACCCCAAUCCAUUAAUAUGAGGAUACCCACCCUCCCUCAAGGGAAUGAGAUUAGUAUUUUGGGGUGAAUUUUAUUCCCAAGUGAAUCCAAUAUUACCAAUUAGAUUACUUAGUUUGUUUAGCCAAACACCGUCAUACUUUUUUAUUCCCAUUGAAUUACUAGGAAUCUUUAAAAGAUAGCGCGAACCAAACGCAACUUUAGAGUAACCUUGCACCAAUUUGUAUUACUACAUCACCGACUAGAUUAUAGAUUGGAUGAAUAAGAAAUACAGUAAUUCUGUGCAAUCCCGGUAGAAUAGUCUGAACCAAAC
rnacentral:lncRNA from 1 species